rnacentral:rRNA from 1 species
GAGCGGCGGACGGGUUAGUAACGCGUGGGAACGUACCCUUUGGUAGGGAAUAGCCAACUGGAAACGGUGAGUAAUACCCCUAGUGAGCCCUUCGGGGGGAAAGAUUUAUCGCCAAAGGAUCGGGCCCGCGUUAGAUUAGGUAGUUGGUGGGGUAAUGGCCUACCAAGCCUACGAUCUACUAGCUGGUUUUAGAGGAUGAUCAGCAACACUGGGACUGAGACACGGCCCAGACUCCUACGGGAGGCAGCAGUGGGGAAUCUUGGACAAUGGGGGCAACCCUGAAUCCAGCCAUGCCGCGUGAGUGAAGAAGGCCUUAGGGUCGUAAAGCUCUUUCGCCUGUGAAGAUAAUGACGGUAGCAGGUAAAGAAACCCCGGCUAACUCCGUGCCAGCCGCGGC